CGCGGGGUAGAGCAGUCUGGUAGCUCGUCGGGCUCAUAACCCGAAGGUCGUUGGUUCGAAUCCUUCCCCCGCCACCA
rnacentral:tRNA from 1 species